rnacentral:tRNA from 3 species
GGUGGGAUGGCGGAGUGGCUGAACGCAGCGCCCUAAGAAAGCGUAGACCGGAAACGGUCCGGGGGUUCGAAUCCCCCUCCCUUUU